AGAGUCAAUUGAGAAGUAUGUUUUUGUAAUGAUGCAUCUUAUGCUGAUUGGAAAUUGAAACAUGAUGAUGAAGAUUGCCGUGUUAUGUACCGUGAAGGACUUAAAGGAAGCCCAUUUCAUACACUGCUCGUUGAAGGUUGCAUUGAUGGGACUAUCGAAGACUGUUGAUGGUGGAUUUGUGCUACCAGACAAAGCCUCUCUGCAUCUUACAGACAUAGA